GAGGGGCCCGCGGCCGAUUAGGUAGUUGGUAGGGUAAUGGCCUACCAAGCCUGCGAUCGGUAGCCGGCCUGAGAGGGCACACGGCCACACUGGCACUGAAACACGGGCCAGACUCCUACGGGAGGCAGCAGUGGGGAAUCUUGCACAAUGGGGGAAACCCUGAUGCAGCGACGCCGCGUGAGCGAUGAAGCCCUUCGGGGUGUAAAGCUCUUUUGUCGGGGACAAUUAUGAUGGUACCCGGCGAAUAAGCUGCGGCUAACUACGUGCCAGCAGCCGCGGUAAUACGUAGGCAGCAAGCGUUGUUCGGAAUUACUGGGCGUAAAGCGUGUGUAGGUGGUUGGGUAAGUCUGGUGUGAAAUCUCCCGGCCCAACUGGGAGGGUGCGCCGGGAACUGCCUGGCUAGAGUGCGGAAGAGGAGAGUGGAAUUCCCGGUGUAGCGGUGAAAUGCGUAGAUAUCGGGAGG
rnacentral:rRNA from 1 species